UUCUGCUACCUGCCAAAAACUGCUUCUAAGCGCUACAGCGCAUGCGUACGUCAUCAUUACGCCGUAAAUCUCCAAACGCAGAAAGUUUUUGCCUCUCUUGUUUGUUUGCCAUAAGCGGAGAGCUAUGGAAAAGAAGUGGGAUGAUGUUUAUCAUUUUGUCUCUUCACAAGCAUACCCUGCAGGGUAUAGUAAGGCACAGAAGCAAAAUAUGAGGAGAUUUGCCUCCAAGUUCAUACUGAAAGAUGGAGAACUCUGGUUUGGGAAGAGAAGAGUGGUGAAAACCAGAGAGGAAGCAAAGACUCUCUUCAUAGCAUUUCAUUCAUCUCCAACUGGAGGGCACUCGGGCAUAAGAAAAACAAGACAUGCUAUAUCUUCAAGGUUUUACUGCUUUGGCCUGUCAGUUGACAUUGAAAACUGGAUCUUGGAAUGUGACAAGUGCCAAAAGGUUGGUAAGCCUUUGGUUGCUGUUCAGACACUAGAAUGUAUUCAGAUCAACCAUUCCCUUUGUGAACUGCUGUGCAUUAAAAGGAGCAGCCUACCACCCCCAAACUAAUGGCCUCGAUGAAAAGACCAAUGAUAACAUAAAACGAGCCCUCAAGAAACUCGUCAACAAUCAGCAGAAUGACUGGGAUACCUAUCUGGAUGACACACUGUUCUCCUUGAGACCGGAGAUGCACACAACCACAAAACACUCUCCCUUUCUUUUAAUGUAUGGCAGAGAGGCAGUGUUCCCUGCAGAGGUUCCUGCUGACAUGCCGGUGAGUCCAUCCAUAUCACUUGCUAUUUUAGAAGACACUUUUAAAUCCUAACUUUGACAUUUCACUGUAAUAUGUCAAAAAUAUCUUACUGUGCAUUUACAUUUUGAUGGCAUUCCUUUGCUAAUUAAUUGAAAUUCUAGCUUUCCACUAUCAUUCUCCCUGGAGAGUCUGUGUAUACAGACUUUGUACAAACCAAAGACAAGACAAUUAAGGCUUUUAAACAGACAACAGAACAAAAUAUUAAAAAGUCAGAGGAUAAACAGAAAGCAGCAAAUGCCAAAAGGGUUCAGAAGAAGUACCAACAUAUCGUGUAUGGUGUCGGUGAUGAGGUUCUCCUGUUGAAUAUGAGGAAGUGUGGACGAAAAGGAGGGAGAAUUGAGCCAGAUUUCUCCAGUCCAUAUGUAAUUGAAACGGUGUGUGGCAACUUGGUUACAUUAAAAAAACCAAGAAGGGUCUACGCUAAAAAUAAAAUACAACACAAGUCACCUUGAGCCAUACAGAAGAAGCACGGAUAAUGACAGAUCAGAAAGUUCAACACAUCUGCCAGCUAAAAGUAAUGAAAGUUUCAGCACGCCUCAUGCCCAGUACACUGUGAGUCACCAACCUUUGGCUGAAGAGAAUGAUCAACAGCCUCAUGACAGUACAACCCCAAGAAGACCAUCUGUUAUUGCAUAUACCACAAAAUAUGAAGAACAUACAGAAGACUCAAAAGAGGUAACAGCAGCCGCAGAAGCUGUAGAACCUGCACCGGAAAUGCCAUCCAGUCAAAAGAGAAGCUGUGGAGAACAAGGUUGCAUGCUCAGAUUUCUACUUCUGACCUGCUGGUUACUUGUAACAACCUCGGCCUACUCCGCCAAUUCGUUCUUUACAUAAAGGUGGAUUGGCAAGUUUGUUACCCACCUGCUGUACUAACCUAUUGGUCACAAGUUAUGAGCAGAGCUUUGGAAUGUUUCUCAUCCAGUUUGCUUACGCUAUGUUUUAGAUGUAAUUUGUGUCCUUAUGAAAUCAUUAUACAUUAUUUGCCUUUUAAAAGAUUGUCUGCAUGUCCAAGAAGACCAUUACAAUUGUAGACCCAUUGGGAAAGGAAGAUGCAUAUGAAAUUGGAGAAAUUUUCUGAAGAUGAGAGACUGUGCCGAGCACAAUGCAGUGUGGCAAGUGCAAACCCGAGCUACAGCAAGAUUGCAGCAGUUCUUAUUCUGAAGGUACCUGUUUGCUGAGUUAUACUGGGCAGUUAUUACUUUGAAUUAAUAUUAAUACAACUGAAUUUUGCAGUUUGCAGAACAUCACCUUUCAAGGGGUCACAUCAAUGAUGUGAAGACGAGCCGAAGUGCAGUGAGCGCAUCUCGAAUGGAAAUUGCAUGUGCACUGCUGAAAUGUCGAGGUAUGUUUAGGACUAUUGGUAAUAUUUUGGCAAUUACAGAUGAAAAGAAGAUUAAGAAUCUGGAUGUAGCAGAUGAAGCACCCUCAGAGAGAGGUCUUGUGGGAUGGUGACAGUACACAGGCACAAAAUAUUCACAUGGAAAUGUAGAGGACUACUGUGUGGUUUGCUCUAUGUUGGAAGGAAAUGCUGAUGAAAGUAUGAUUGAAAUGGUGUAGUGUGACUCUGCAGUAGGUUGGCACACUUCAAACGUGCCAAACACAAGAAACACUCGUCCACUUAUGUUUGUGACAAAUGUUCAGAAAAAUAAACUUUGUUCAGUUUUUCCUUAAACCUGCUUGCUUGUUUUUUAUUUAAAACAUUCACAGAUUGUUAUAAAACUGAGGAAAGCUUUUUUUUUAUCACAUAAGAUGCCCACAAUGUGGUUAAAACCAGCAGAACUGCAUGGGGCAUAAGAAGCUAAUAACUACUUCAUCAACGGUGAUUAUUUUAUGACAUUACAU